rnacentral:rRNA from 1 species
GACGAACGCUGGCGGCGUGCUUAACACAUGCAAGUCGAACGGAAAGGCCCUGCUUUUGUGGGGUGCGCGAGUGGCGAACGGGUGAGUAACACGUGAGUAACCUGCGCUUUUCUUUGGGAUAACUUCAGGAAACUGGGGCUAAUACACGAUAGGAGCUCCUGCUGCAUGGGGGGGGUGGGAAAGUUUCGGCGGUUGGGGAUGGACUCGCGGCUUAUCAUCUUGUUGGUGGGGUAGUGGCUUACCAAGGCUUUGACGGGUAGCCGGCGUGGGAGGGUGACGGGCCACAUUGGGACAAAGGAACGGCCCAGAGGCAUACGGGAGGCAGCAGUGAAGAAUAUUGCACAAAGGGCGGAAGACUGAUGAAGAAGCGUCGCGUGCGGGAGGACGGCUUUCAGGUAGUAAACCGAUUUCGCCUGUGAAGAAGGGCAAGUGACGGUAAUGGGUAAGGAAGCACCGGCUAACUACGUG